rnacentral:rRNA from 1 species
UACGGGGGGAGCAAGCGUUGUUCGGAUUUACUGGGCGUAAAGGGCGCGUAGGCGGCCACGACAAGUCACUUGUGAAAUCUCCGGGCUUAACUCGGAAAGGUCAAGUGAUACUGUCGGGCUAGAGUGCAGAAGGGGCAACUGGAAUUCUCGGUGUAGCGGUGAAAUGCGUAGAUAUCGAGAGGAACACCUGCGGCGAAGGCGGGUUGCUGGGCUGACACUGACGCUGAGGCGCGAAAGCCAGGGGAGCGAACGGG